rnacentral:rRNA from 1 species
AACGAACGCUGGCGGCAUGCCUAACACAUGCAAGUCGAACGAGACCUUCGGGUCUAGUGGCGCACGGGUGCGUAACGCGUGGGAACCUGCCCUUAGGUUCGGAAUAACUCCCCGAAAGGGGUGCUAAUACCGGAUAAUGUCUUCGGACCAAAGAUGUUUCGCCUUUGGAUGGGCCCGCGUUGGAUUAGCUAGUUGGUAGGGUAAAAGCCUACCAAGGCGACGAUGCAUAGCUGGUCUGGGAGGAUGAUCAGCCACACUGGGACUGAGACACGGCCCAGACUGGUACGGGAGGGAGCAGUAGGGAAUAUUGGGCAAGGGGCGAAGACGUAGUCCAGCAGUGCCGGGUGAGUGAUGAAGGCCUUAGGGUUGUAAAGCUCUUUGACCCGGGAUGAGAAUGACAGUACCGGGAGAAUAAGCACCGGCUAACUCCGUG